GACCAGUCCGAGUGCAGUGGUGUUUACAACUAAUUGAUAAGAACCAGUUACAGAUUCCUUUGUUCCUUUCCCACUCCCACUGCUUCACUUGACCAGCCUUUA
rnacentral:Y_RNA from 1 species